CCAGCAGCUGCGGUAAUUCCGGCUCCAAUAGCGUAUAUUUAAGUUGUUGCAGUUAAAAAGCUCGUAGUUGGAUUUCGGGCGGGUCCUGGUGGUCUGCCUCUGGUAUGCACUGCCGGCCGAUCCGUCUUUCUGUCGGGGACGCGCUCUCGGCUUAACUGUCGGGACGCGGGCUCGGCGAGGUUACUUUGAGUAAAUUAGAGUGUUCAAAGCAGGCGAUCGCCCUGAAUACAUUAGCAUGGAAUAGCACGAUAGGACUCUGGCCUAUCUUGCUGGUCUGUAGGACCGGAGUAAUGAUUAAGAGGGACAGUCGGGGGCAUUCGUAUUUCAUUGUCAGAGGUGAAAUUCUUGGAUUUAUGAAAGACGAACUUCUGCGAAAGCAUUUGCCAAGGAUGUUUUCAUUGAUCAAGAACGAAAGU
rnacentral:rRNA from 1 species